rfam:Gossypium raimondii Chr11_contig_1287, whole genome shotgun sequence.
AAUAGGAGAAUUGACAUAUCAGAUUUUUUCUCUUGAUUUUCAGCUUUUUUUCCUUAAAAAAUUCAAAUCAAACUAAAAAUGCUAAAAAUCAGGAGGAAAAAUCCAAUAUAUCAUUCUCCUAUU